UACGUAGGGUGCAAGCGUUAAUCGGAAUUACUGGGCGUAAAGCGUGCGUAGGCGGUUCGUUAAGUUCGUUGUGAAAGCCCCGGGCUCAACCUGGGAAUGGCAAUGGAAACUGGCGGGCUGGAGUAUGGCAGAGGGGGGGUGGAAUUCCGCGUGUAGCAGUGAAAUGCGUAGAGAUGCGGAGGAACACCGAUGGCGAAGGCAGCCCCCCUGGGCCAAUACUGACGCUCAGGCACGAAAGCGUGGGGAGCAAACAGG
rnacentral:rRNA from 1 species